GACGAACGCUGGCGGCGUGCUUAACACAUGCAAGUCGAACGGAAAGGCCCUGCUUUUGUGUUGUUCUCGAGUGGCUAACGGGUGAGUAACACGUGAGUAACCUGCCCUUGACUUUGGGAUAACUUCAGGAAACUGGGGCUAAUACCGGAUCGGAGCUCCUGCUGCAUGGUGGGGGUUGGAAAGUUUCGGCGGUUGGGGAUGGACUCGCGGCUUAUCAGCUUGUUGGUGGGGUAGUGGCUUACCAAGGCUUUGACGGAUAGCCGGCCUGAGAGGGUGACCGGCGACAUGGGGACUGAGAGACGGACCAGACUCCUACGGGAGGCAGCAGUGGGGAAUAUUGCACAAUGGGCGGAAGCCUGAUGCAGCAACGCCGCGUGCGGGAUGACGGCCUUCGGGUUGUAAACCGCUUUCGCCUGUGACGAAGAGUGAGUGACGGUAAUGGGUAAAGAAGCACCGGCUAACUACGUG
rnacentral:rRNA from 1 species